rnacentral:lncRNA from 1 species
AUACAGAGAGACAGAGACAGUGUGUACCAUUUUAUAAUAUGAGAGCUCUGCAUCUUCUAAGACCUGAGGAAGGUCAUCCCAGCUUUCUGUCAGGAAAGGAAACAGCACUUCUCAAAAAAUAGAAAGAGCAUGAUAUGGAGCUGGAGAGGAGGGGAGAGGAGAACAGAAGGCAAGGUGGGAAAGGACACCUGGCAGAGACAACAUCUGGAUCCUGAACCUGGAGGAGAAAUCCACUUAUAUCUCACUUUAGAUUUGCCAGCUGCUUUUAUUUUUAUUUGGACUUACAGAAAGGUGAGGCUGGGUGUGGUGUCUCAUGCCUGUAAUCCCAGCACUUUGGGAGGCCGAGGCAGGUGGAUCACGAGGUCAGGAGAUGGAGACCAUCCUGGCCUACAUGGUGAAACCCCAUCUCUACUAAAACACAAAAAAAAUUAGCUGGGAGUGGUGGUGUGCGCCUGUAGUCCCAGCUACUCGGGAGGCUGAGGCAGGGGAAUCACUUGAACUGGGAGGCAGAGAUUGCAGUGAGCUAAGAUCACGCCACUACACUACAGCCUGGGCAACAGUGAGACUCCGU